AUGAACUUCUCAAUUUCUCAGUAAAUUAGUAACAAUUCCUAGGUUACUUUGGUGGUGAUUGGUAAAACAACUGAUUGUAUUUUAUUUCAAUUGCACAUAUUGGAGAGCUCUUUCUCUUCAAUUGCUCUUUCCGUAUUAUCUCUUCCUCUUUCUCUCUUACUUCUUAUAUUGGAUUUGCAAUUUCUUUGUUCUGGUUGUUGAUUUCAUAAUUUUGCUGCAUUUUUUCUCUGUCGAGGUUUCAUUUUUUCAUUUAUUUCCCUAUUGCAACUUCUUGUUAAUUAGUUUAAUGUUCAUUUGUUAGCAGUUCCUUCUUUUGGAUUCUUUUGUUGCGUAAUUAAGUCAGUGCAUAUAAGUUCUUGUGCCUCAUUUUCACGUGCAUGCCAUUUUUUUUUUUUGGUUGAAAUGGCAAGAAUAUGAUAAAUCAAUAGUAAACCUUGCCUGUUACUAUUAUUUUACUGAAAUGGUAAGAAUAUAGUAAAACUCGCAUGUUAUAUACAUUGGAAGUGACCUUCCCAUUUGAAGUCAACUUUGUUGAAGUUUAUUUCCUCUCAUUGAUCUCUCUGUAAACCUAACCCAUAUCUUGCUUUGGCAGGGGCUUAAGAGGACUCUUCUUUAAUCUCUCUCUCCAAAUGCCCUUGAGUUUACAAAGUACUGUCCAUUUGGAGAAAAUGGAGGAAUAUGCCAAAGCAUUUGCUAUAUUUGCUAACUAUUUACUGCAAACAUGUAUUUCACCUUGCUAACUUCACUGUAACAAAUUAUAAUUCCUCAAAAGUCAAGUAACUAAACUUAGAGCUAUAAUCUACCUUUUUUUGGGGGGCUUCCAGAGAACCACAUGGUGCAGAUUGUUAUGUUCCCUGUACUUGAUUUACAAGAUGGGAUUUCUUCUUCUAUAUGUUGCCAUAUUUGCUGGCUAUUUGUUACUAAACAUUGCGCUAAAAGAAAUUCAGUUCAAAAUUCUAAUGAGUUCCCCACACCUUUAAGUAUCCCAAGCUGAUCCUAAUUACUAAGUAGUUACAUAAUUUUUGUAUUCUCUUCUUUCAGUUUUACUAUCCUAUUACAAAAUAUAAAGAAGUAAAAACGAUAAAUAUGCAAAUAACCUUAUUCAUGUUAUGUCAAGAUUAAGUGUUUCUGUUUUGUUUAUGUGAAUAAGGGUGUUUAUCAGGAUUUAUUCUAAGGGGGUUUAGGAUUUAUUCUUCGGCAUUCUCACUAGAAUUUUAUUAGAUAAUUUUUUUCACUGCCCUAUCCUGGAACUUAUUCUUUACUGAUGUAAAUUGUCCUAUAUGUGAUUAUUUUUCUUCAAGUGAGGUUCUUCAACAUCUUAUAUCAGGAACCAGUUUAGUCACUUAAUGGUAUACAGUCUAUAGAAUCUAUGUUAGUUAUUCGAAUUAGUUUAUUUGUGGAGCUUUAGUUACUCUUGGGUUAUGAGCUUGUGCUGUGAUUGUUUUUUUGAAUUGAUCUAAUAAAUGUGCUGCACUGAUCCUGAGUUAGAAAAUAUAUUGUUAUAUAAAAGUUGUAGACCAUGUCUGAAAAUAUGCGACUUUUGCUAUUCUAAGGCAAUGACCCUGUGUUUUCGUGCACCCAUGAGAUUCUUUUUGUAUAGAUGAUUGAGUGUCUUUUGCUGACAAUCCUUUUAUAUAGAUUCUCUAAUUGUAUAUGGAGCUUUUCCCAUUAUUAAUGAAAUUACUUACCUUAUUAAAAAAAGGAAGUGAAGCAGAACUAUGAUCUAUGGUGGGAUUGGUUUCUUUCUUAGUUCAGUUCCUGACAGGUUUAUCUGAUUAUCUAUUCCGCGGCUUGCAUUUUCAACCCAAUUCCACAGUAGAAACUCCAACCUAUAUUGUACCAGAAGUCUUAGCAAGAAAAAAGUACAAUGGAAAGGUAUGAUAAUGACCUUUGGAAGACGAUAGUCACCUAAUGCAUUAAUCUGUUAACCUGAACUUUAAGAUAUAUCUUAUUAUUUAAAUGUGAAGAUGGAAGAUGGUUGGACCUAUGGGGUCAUAUUAUAUGUGAUGAUGGUUGGAAUUUAUCCCUUUAAUGAUCCUAACGACACAAAAUUUCAGCAAGACUUAACUAUGAAUUUUUGUCCAUCUUUAAGUUAUAGUUGGCCCUUGUUUUGCCUUCUUUGUCUCAAUCCUUGCUUCUCAAAAUCAGUUGAAACCAUUGUUUGAUAUUGUUAUAAGAACUAAAUAACUUUAAUAUGAAAUUCUUCAUCUUUUCCCAAGAACCAUCAUGUCAAAACAUCAAGAAUGUAAAACUAGAUGCGGAAGCGUACCUGAAUCCAUGACAAAAUCGGAUUUGGUCAACUAGCGGUCUUUGGCCUUCCAAACCUAGACGUAAGCCGCUUACUCUUCACUGACGACGGGAAAUCAGAAAAAGAAAACCUAGGUCUGGUUUGGGGACCAUAACCCCUUAUUUAUAAUUGCACAAGUUAUGUUAAUUUCUAGUUUAGCCCAUCAUUAAACUAGAAACUACAACCGGGUAUCUACACAUAGUAACCCUACUUUAUGAGGUAUUUAAUUUGGCCCAUAUAUUUUAGUCUUUAGUAGAUCACUUUUGAUGAGGGCCAACCUUCUAAUGAUAGCUAAUAACAUACAACUAUUAUUUGUAUAUAUGCGGAAGUCCAUAAAUUCUUACAAUCUCCCACUUGGACUACACAUAUAUACAAUUUAUAACCUUAUAAUUGUAUGUCACCAUAUGAGCUCAAAAUAAUUGCUAUCAUAAUCUGAAGUACCUCCAAACAAUCUCGUCCAUCAAUCAUGUCAAUGUAGAACCAAGGUGGUUUUCAUUACAUUAAUCGUAAAUAAACCUUUCCUGAUCAUGUACACUAACAUAACCAAAUGACAUAGAUCAAGUAUAGAUGUGCAGCACGAAAAUUACAUGCUAUGUGAUCUAAGCAUGCCUAUUUCCAACUGGUCCUACUGAAGACAAGUCAGAGUGGAAACAAACCAAAUACUUUAUUUCUACAGAAAUGUCCAAAAGAAAACUAAAACCAUAAACUGUAAACAUAAACUGAAAGCUGUAAUAUGUCUAUUUUAAAAGAACAUUUAAAAAGGUUACAAACUCCCACUAAAACUGAAUAUCCUCAAAUGACAUGACACCCAUAUGAGCAACGUGCUCAUGAAAGACCUUGGGUGGUAGUCCUUUAGUAAGUGGAUCCGCAACCAUGGAGUUUGUUCCAGUAUGCUCUAUAGACCCCUGACCACUCUGAACUCUAUCUUUAACAACCAGCAACUUAAUCUCAAUUUGCUUUGACUUUGUUGAACUCUUGUUGUUAUUGGAAUACAUGACUGCUGAUUUAUUAUCACAAAAUAACUUAAUUGGCCUUUCAAUUCCAUCCACAAUUUGCAGCCCUAUGACAAAAUUACGCAGCCAUAAUCCUUGAUUUAAUGCCUCAUAACAUGCUACAAACUCAGCUUCCAUGGUGGAAGAAGUUACGAGUGUUUGUUUAACACUUCUCCAAGAAACAGCCCCUCCAGCAGGCAUAUAAAUGUAGCUUGAUGUAGAUUUCAUACUAUCUUGGCACCCAGCAAAGUCGAAAUCUGAAUAUCCAAUAAUCUCUAACUUAUCCGACCUUCUGUAUGUGAGCAUGUGAUCUUUUGUUCUUUGUAAAUAUCGUAUAACUCGUUUGGCUGCUUUCCAAUGAUCCAUUCCCGGAUUGCUUAAGUAUCUGCCCAACAUCCCAAUAAUGUACGCAAUAUCUGGGCGCGUACAAACUUGAGCAUACAUCAGACUUCCUACUGCUGAAGCAUAGGGAAUCUUUUGUAUUUCUUUAGUCUCAAAAUCAUUCUUGGGGCAUUGUUUGAGACUAAACUUGUCUCCUUUAGAAACAGGGGUAUCACCUGGUUUACAAUCUUGCAUGCCAAAUCUCUUUAGUACCUUUUCAAUAUAGGCUUUCUGUGAUAAUCCAAGAAUACCUCGAGAGCGAUCUCGAUGUAUCUGAAUUCAUAAUACAAAACUUGCAUCACCAAGAUCUUUCAUCUCAAAAUUCUUUGCUAGAAAUUUAUUGGUUUCAUGCACAUGCCUAUAUCUUUUGUGGCAAGUAAUAUGUCAUCAACAUAUAAAACCAGAACAAUAUGCUUACUCCCACUGAACUUGUGGUAUACACAAUCAUCAACAAGAUUCAUCUCAAAACCGAAUGAGACAACAACUUGGUGAAAUUUGUAAUACCACUGACGAGACGCCUGCUUAAGCCCAUAGAUGGAUUUCUUUAAUUUGCAUACCAUUGACUUUGCAUCACAAGAUACAAAAUUUUCUGGUUGCACCAUAUAAAUUGUUUCAUCAAUGUCUCCAUUGAGAAAUGCAGUCUUGACAUCCAUCUGACGUAGCUCAAGAUCAAAAUGAGAAACUAAUGCCAUUAUAGUCCUAAAAGAGUCUUUCGAUGAAACCGGAGAGAAAGUCUCUUUAAAAUCAAUGCCUUCUUUCUGGGUGAAGCCUUUAGCAACAAGACGUGCUUUGUACCUCUCCACGUUACCCUUCGAAUCCCUCUUGGUUUUAAAUAUCCAUUUACAACCAAUGGGUUUCGCACCUUCAGGCAAUUGGACAAGCUCCCACACGUCAUUGUCCUUCGUGGACUUCAUCUCUUCAUUCAUUGCAUCAAUCCACUUUUGAGAGUUAGAACUUUCCAUGGCUUGACGGAAGUUGAUUGGGUCAGCUUCCAUCACUCCAAUGUCAUCCUCAUGUUCUUGGAGAAACACAAUAUAAUCGUCUGGAAUUGCACUUCUCCUUUCUCUAGUGGAUCUUCUUGAUGGCAUUGGUUCCUGAGGUUAUAGAGUUUGUUCAAGGACAUUGCCUUGAUCUGGAGUUGCUUCUUAAACAAUGUCAGGUAUGGGAGACUAUUUCUGAGCAUUGUCAGUAGCAACUAGAGGAAUACUUAAAGGAAUUUCAACAUACUCCUCUUCAAAGACAAAGUCCUUUAUUCUUUCUUCCCCAGCAAACUCAACAUCCUCGAAGAACCGCGCAUUAAUUGUCUCAAAAAUAGCCUUAGUAGUGGGAUCAUAGUAUUUGUAACCCCUAGACCUUUCAGAGUAUCCAAUAAAAUAGCAACUGAUUGUCCUUGAGUCCAGUUUCUUUUCAUUUGGCCUAUAAGGCCUUGCCUCAGCUGGACAUCCCCAAAUGUGCAAAUGAUUCAAGCUAGGCUUUUUUGCCUGUCCAAAGCUCAUAGGGGGUCUUAUUAGUUGCCUUAGUCGGAACUCUAUUGAGUAUAUAUGUUGCGGUCUUUAAUGCUUCUCCCCAGAGUGAAUCAGGUAAGGUAGAAUGACUAAUCAUACUUAUCACCAUAUCUUUAAGCGUUCUGUUUCGUCUUUCAGCAACACCAUUCAUAAUGGGCGAACCCGGCAUGGUGUACUGUGGGAUGAUACCACAUUGCUCUAGGAAUUUUGCAAAUGGUCCUGGACGUUGUUCACCUGAUGCAUCAUAUUUACCGUAGUAUUCACCACCACGGUCAGAUCUAACGCUUUUUAUACUUUUGCCAAGUUGGUUUUCAACUUCAGCCUUAUAAUUUUUGAACACAUCCAGUGAUUGCGAUUUUUCAUGAAUGAGAUAAAGGUAGCCAUAUCUUGAGAAGUCGUCUGUGAACGUUAUAAAAUAUUGUUGACCAUUCCAAGAAGCCAUAGGAAAUGGUCCACAAAUAUCAGUAUGUAUAAGUUCUAAGAUGUCUGAUUUCUUAUUGGCUCCAAAUCUCCUUAUAUUUGUUUGUUUCCCCUUAAUACAAUUUACACAUAUAUCAAAAUCUGAAAAAUCAAGGCGAACGAGAAUACCGUCUGACACAAGUCUCUCAAUUCUCCUUUUGGAGAUAUGACCUAAUCUCUUGUGCCACAACGAAGCUGAAUUCUCGCCGGUUAAUUUGUGUUUAUUACCAAUUAUAUUAACAUGCAAGGAUUCAUUAUACGAAACAAUUGUGUCAAUUAAAUAUAGAUUAUCGUAGCCUGAUAAAGAACCGGAUCCAACCAAUUUUGAAUUAUGAGAAAGACUAAAUUUUGCAUUUCCAAAUGAACAACAAUAACCAAAUUUGUCCAAAGCUGAAAUGGAAAUCAAAUUCCAUCUAAAAGAUGGUACUGUUGACACCUAAUUUUGGCUCAACGUGCUUAAAAUUAACGUUUCGGGUGGUCCUGAUUCCUCAAAGAGUACAAAAUAACUUUUUUACACGUUUUUGCAUUUUUUGCCAAUUUAUCGAUAAUUAUCCUUAUUUCAGGAAUUUUAUCAAUUUAUUAUCAUUUUUAAGAAUCAUUAUUUUUGCACAUGUACAGCGUAAUACUGCCAUUUUUUGUGCAAUUAAUAAUUGUUUCUUAAUUUUAUAACAGUACAUUUUCGUAUCUUAUACAUGAAUAUUUAUAUUUUAUACUUACAUUAUUAUUCAUACAUGUACUAGUUAACUAUAUUUUAGUAUAGUCCGUCAGUACAUAGAAAAACCGAAGCAGUUAAUCUUAAAUGCGGAGAAAAAAUUCGAUCAAAUCAAGAUCUUGUCACCUUUUAAAAAGGUGACAUUUGAAGUGAUGGGUUGAGUUCUUCAUCCAUUGGUCAAUACAUUUUUAAACAAGGGUUAAAAGGGGUAAAGGGGACAAGGGGUGGCGUUCUUUUAUUUUUUGGAUAAUAAAUGGGGUCAUGUUAUAUUAUAAGUAAAAGGGAGGGGGGCAUUUCUAUUUUUCAUGUACAUAAUUUCAGAUCUUUUGUUUAGGAUCUUUUAGUUUUCUCCCUAUUUUCUCUCAUAAACUCAAAAGCUCCUUCUUCACUCUCAACAGCUUUCUUCUUCACUAUCAUUCUGGUGAGUUCACCAGAAUCCGGUGAAACUCCGGCAGCUGCCCCACCACUCUCUCUCUCCCUCUCUUAUUCUUAACAUACAUACAGACCUGUCCCCUUCCCCUCUUCUCCGACGAGGAGCUUUCAACUCCGAUGAACCGGAGCAACCACAAACCACCACGCCGCAACCAACCAGCAGUCCUUUUCACUCUUUCCCUCUUCCCUAUCACUGCUCCGAUGGGCUACAAUCAGCCACCGACGAACUGGGCAAAAUCUUCCUCCAACCAAACAACCUCCAAACAUGAACCAAACGACACCAAAACAACCCCCUUCGUCUUCUUCGCUGCUCCAGUGAACUGGAGCAGUAAGCAACCACGACCCCACCAGUUGUUGCUCCCACUCGCUCCUUUCCUCUCAUAUUUUCAUUUUUGUGUUUCUGAUUUUUAAGGUUUUCCACCAGAAAACGUACAAAUCUAGACGGAAUCACGACAUGGCCUCUGACCUCUUUUCGUUCCGUAUAUUUUGUGUAUAUAUGUGUUUGUAUUGCCAUAUCAUUUUCUCCACUGAUUUAUGCUGGAAAUAUGGAGCUGGCUGAGGAAAACAAAGCGCCGACGACGACCUUUAUACUAUGUUAUUGUCUUUUCGUUCUCACUCGUACAAUCUCUUAUUGGUGUGCUUGAUUCUAGAUGCUUGGCCUGAUCUUAAUCUCCGGCGAAUUUCCGUUAUCGUUGAAGCUACUAUGUUCAUUAUUAUGUUCUCGUCGGAGCUUCGACUUUGGCUCUUGCUCGCUGCUUUGUUCUAAGUUUGUUUUGGACCUUUUCAUGCUAGUUUAAUGCCUACAUUUUGCCGACGAACUGCAUCUCAUCUUUGUGUUUGUGUUGCUAAGUUAUUGUGCUUUUUUAGACUACUUUUAGCAUUCUUUUUUUAGUAAAAAAGAAAUGUUUGUUUUGUGCCCAGAAAAUACUCCCGGCGGCCAACGACACUUUUAUCCUUUUUUACCAUUUAUUUAAACUCAUUUGGGAGAAUACUAAACCCAAAUGGCCGAUGAAGAAAUUUCCGUCGAUUUCCAAGGCCUCCCAUGUACAAAAGAUGGGUUUUUAUUUUAAGUUUAUUAAUUAUUUCUUUAAUUCAUUCGAUAGUUAUUUAUUCUCUUACUAACACUUUUACUAAGUGUUUAUACAGGUACCCGGAGACACAUCUCGAAGACGAUACUCGGAAGGAACCCGAAUCACUGUUUGUAUUUACUUUCCGCAUUCUUUAUAACUGUAUAAAACAUAAACUCGUAAUAUAGUGGAACUUUAUUUUUGGAAUGACGAGUUGAUAUAUUUAUUUACUUGUCA